rnacentral:tRNA from 1 species
UGUAGCAAAUCAGUGCAAUAAAUUUAAGAUUUAUAUAUAAAGUAAAUCUUUCUUUAAAA